GAACGCACUCAUUUUCAACUAUACAGUAUUCAUUAAAGUUAUUUGUAAAACUUUGCUUUGCACUAAACGAACUAUCUUAUUAUCGUAUAUUUGUGGUUGUAAUACUGACAUUUCUUUGCUGUCAGAUCAUUAAACAAUCUUAAUCUCGAAUAUUUCUAGUGUCAAAUAAUAAACAAUCGAGUGUUUAUAAAUAAAAAGCAGUGAACAAAUAGCGAUUUAAACAUUUCUAUUUCGAAACAAUUUACAUAGGAGAAAACUACUUCACACAUAAAAUACAAUGGAUGAAUUCAAGGGGUUUUUCAAGCAAGCCGGAAGGCAAAUUUUCAAUGAAGCUGUAAAUGCAGCCGGCCAGUAUAUUGGAAAUGCUAUCCAGGAAAUGCUUGUUGUGAAAAAAGAAACUGAGCAUCCAAGAAUUUUACCUAGCUUGGAGCAUAUGAAAAUUGUAAGUAUUAAAUGGAUCUCUAAUCGUUUAUUUUGAAAAUUGUGUUUAUUAUACGAUAUUCUGAAAUGAAAUAGAAAAUAAAGACAUCCGUUCGAAUUUUCUGUUGAGGAAUUGUUUAAAACCUACACCAAGGUCACUUUCUUCGUAUACAAAUACAUGGGAAAGA